GAGGGUAUAGCUUAGAGGUAGAGAGCUUGCCUAGCAAGCACAAGGUCCUGGGUUCAAGCCCCAGAACCUCCA
rnacentral:tRNA from 1 species